rnacentral:piRNA from 1 species
UGAGAACCGUUUCUUCAGUUCUGCUUUGCCU